rnacentral:lncRNA from 1 species
AUGGAUCAUCACUCAUCAUCUCCACCACCACCAUGUCAGAAAGCAUAAAAAAGAGAGAAAACAAACAAAGAAAAGAAGAUGAUAGGUUUGCACAAAAUCCUUUGAAUCUCUCUCUCUCUCACUCUCUUUCUCUUAUAUUGUAAUGUAAAGCCUCUUUUUCAACGCCAUCAUGAUGAUGUGCCUCUGCUGCUUAUGUAUGUUCUCUAUCGCCAUCAUUGUGCCCACUUCAUCAUCAUCCUCUUCUCUUUGCCCCCACUACAACCCUAACGCUGCUAUCAUUACCCUCAUAACUUUUUCUCCUCUCAAAUUCAUCACCAAAAAGAAAAAAAAAAGAUCACUACUACUUUCUCAUCAAUUUCAGAUGCCAAUGUUGGUUGAUGAAAAAAUGAAGAAUAACCUUUCAUCUUUUUCAAAUCUGCUACAAGUGUAACUUAGCUUCUGGUUGAAGAAGGAUAUGCUACUAUGUAUGUGUUUCACUAUCAAUUUCUCUUCCUUUUCUUUUUUGGGGAAUCAAGCGUCUUGGUCCGAUCCGUUAUUAUUAAUUAAUGCUACAUCAAGCAAGUUAAUAAUUAAUUAAUUGCGUUGGAUUUCUACUUUAUUACUUCCUUUUGCAAACCUUUAGUUUUAUUUAUGUGGGCUAUAUUUCAUUAAUUAAGUUAGUUCAUGAUAAAUCUAGCUAUAUAUGUAUCUAGGGUUUAUGUGGCGUAUGUUACUUAUAUGUAUGUCUAAAGAAAGAGAGAGAAAGAAAGUAUAUGUUAUGAACUACUAGUUUGUGUUGAUGAGGUGAUUGAUGCAUAUUAUUAUUAUUACAUGUAGAUCCAAUCAAGUUUAAGCUUCUUUUGGAAGUAAUUGAAUAUAACUUUUAUGUUA